CCUACGGGCGGCAGCAGUAGGGAAUAUUGCUCAAUGGGGGAAACCCUGAAGCAGCAACGCCGCGUGGAGGAUGAAGGUUUUCGGAUUGUAAACUCCUUUUGUUAGAGAAGAUAAUGACGGUAUCUAACGAAUAAGCACCGGCUAACUCCGUGCCAGCAGCCGCGGUAAUACGGAGGGUGCAAGCGUUACUCGGAAUCACUGGGCGUAAAGAGCGUGUAGGUGGGAUAGCAAGUCAGAUGUGAAAUCCUAGGGCUUAACCAUAGAACUGCAUUUGAAACUGUUAUUCUAGAGUAUGGGAGAGGUAGGUGGAAUUCUUGGUGUAGGGGUAAAAUCCGUAGAGAUCAAGAGGAAUACUCAUUGCGAAGGCGACCUGCUAGAACAUAACUGACGCUGAUGCGCGAAAGCGUGGGGAGCAAACAGGAUUAGAUACCCUAGUAGUC
rnacentral:rRNA from 1 species